UGGAAGUAGUUUAAUUUCAAGAACAUUGGCUUUGGGAGCUAAAAGUCCUGGUAGUUUCAGUCUUCCAGU
rnacentral:tRNA from 1 species